UGCUUAGAAACCACCUUUGGAGAAUGCUAAUGCAUUUAAAUAAUAGUGUAUCAUAGACAACAACAUGCUCCGCGUAAGAUAUAAAGAAAAACCUUCUCUCUACCAUACUUGUUUUAGUCUUUAGAAAAUGUAAAAAAAUGUAGAUUAUGGUAGUUAAAGAUAUAGGAGCCUUCAACAACUCUAUGGCCAGGCAGCAUUCAUAGGAUUGGAACAGGAAGAAAUAGACAACAGGGAAUGAAGAAAUUGACCAGGAGAGAAAAACAGGCAAUUCACCGUCUACUUCUCCUAGGAUCAUCGGCACACUUGUAUGAGUAUACACUCCCUCCCACUUUCAACUGAGAGCCUCAAAAAUGAGUUCUUGUUCUGCUACUUUAAUUUAUAUCUUUAGAAAAGAACUACAGUUCUUUAUUGGUUGCCUGAAGAGUUCUGCUGAGAGAGAUUUUCCAACUCUGAGUCUAUAAAUAACAUACGGAGCUGUGGAAACAUCACCAAGCAUCCCAACAACUCACUUGGCUUCUCCCUAAAUUUGUGGCAGAGAAAGAAGAUGAGUAGAAAGACAAGGCGUGCAGCAAGCAAGCAAACAGUGAAGAACACUGAUGGGACCCUUGCUCAAUCAAUUCAACUAUAAGUAGGCUUUUUGGAGGGAUGCUGGGAACAGUUAGUACAACUGUGUAGGAGAUUAUAUUAAGACAGUUAUGAGUGGGAAAUUGGGUACACACGAAAACAAUUAGAAUGCUCAGAGAAGUCUGUGGACGUAUGAGGCAAGGUAUGACUGGGGUCUGGGAUUUGUUUUAAAAUAUUUUAUCAGAAAAGUGAGGGAGAGAUGCAGCAACUGUGGCCAGCUCUGGAUAACUGUUGAUCUGGGUAAUGGCACAGUAUACUAGUAUCUCUACUUUUGCAUGUAUCUGAAUUUUUCAAAAUUAAAAGGUUUUGUUAAAGUACUUGUUCCAUUUUAAAAGAGGGAUGAUAGAGUAUCUGUCAAAUAUUUUAAGGUAAAAAAUAGAAAAGACUAGAAGAUACAUAUGCGAGGAGAUGGGUAUAUUAACUAGCUUAACUAAUUUCCCAGCAUACUCAUACACAUAUAUCCAAAACCAUGCUGCACACUGUAAAUAUAUACACGUUUUCUUUGUCACUAAUACCUUAAUAAAGAUGAGUGGGGGGUGUUAAUGAUAGAUUCAUAAAGUUGAGAGGAGAAUAGACCCUAAGAAUCAUAGAAAAAAAAAAGAACCAGGAAAUUAGAAGAUGGGGUGGGAUUGGGGUGGUGGGAGUGCAUCUGGAUCUGCCUCGGAAUAUUUCCAGAACUGACCUCGCCUGGCUGAAUGACCUGGUGACAGUUGGUAAAGGGCCUGGCGCCCCAGGUGUGUCUAGGGGAUGAUUGCCUGGCUGUAGCCCCAGUACUGGGUGGAGUUACUCAAGGCCUCAGACUUUCCUAAGUGUCUUCAUGAGCUGCGAUGGUCCUGUCCUGUCCGGUGACAGGUGGGCAGCCCUCCUGUCGUGCUCACCUUCCAGGAGCCACUUCGUCUCAGCAACACACCAAUCUUGUGAGCUUUCCUGAGGUUGGAAGCCCAUCUGUCUCUGUUGGGGCUCUUGACUCUUUGUGGUUCCCCCGCCUUUCAGCACCGCAGACAAGGACCAGGUGACAAGAAAAGGUGAGAUGACUCCAAAUACGCGCUUGUCCUGUACUUUUACAUUUACCCAACUUUUCUCAUUAUAGGGAGGCCAAGGUGGAAAAAUCCAGGCAAAGAAAGAGAAAACCAACCAUACCACCCAAAAAAACAUGCCAGAUGGCAGGAAAGAUGCCUAUGAUUCUAGCGGCUUUUGCAUAUAUUUAUUUAGCCCAGUCAUUUACAAAACAAAGCCCAGAAAUUCCAGGUAUCUCUCCUAAGCAAAAGGACCACUCCUGUUUGCUUCUGGUCAUCAGGUAAACCUUGGGUAAAACCUAAGCUCCUGAGUCAGAUCUUUCCAGAGAGGGGUCAGACUUGGUACCCGCCAUUGCUUUCUUUUCCAGCUGUCGAACUCAGAGGCAAACCAAGAGUUGCCCACAACUGGGAAAAUGUUCAAGAGAUGCUUCUUCUACCUAUGUCAAGGGCAAAUUUCCUCCACAGCAGUCACACACACACACACACACACACAAAAAAAAAAAAAAAAAAAACAACAAAUAAAUAAAUAAAUAAAGGUAAUGGCUUAAACCAUGGCGGUGCCUGAGAUGCUCUAACUGACCUGAGCUCCUCAAAGAAGUCCUGAUGAGGACUAUCUGGUUCUCACAAUGUUAUCAGGCGUCAACAGACUUUGCCUCCCUUGAAAGUGCUUCCAAUUGUUUCAGCGGCUAAAGCGACCUAAAUCAACAUUGGAUAUAGCAAAGAAAACAAACCACUUAUAAACUUUCCCAUACCUGCCAAAACUGGAAAGCUAAAAAUAGGGGGUAGCAAACACUGUUCAAAAAUAUUUCUCCAGGAGAAAACAGGCGGAAAACACUGGAUAAUUUUCAAAGAAGUAAAGGAUUUUUUUUUUAAAGUUAGCUCAUUUUGCAACUUGGAAUUUCUGUGGUGGUAAGGAAGUGAGGAAAACAUAACUCAGCCGUGAUGAUAUGAUUCCUACACCAACGUUAAAUUAUUGGCUGCUUCACUUAGCAGUUACACUGCACACAACAUUGAUGGAAUGCUUCAUUCCCCUGGCCCUGUGGAGGCUUCGAGAGGAUGGGCUCUUUUCUACCAAGAGAAUGGUCCAUUGGUUUGUCAAGAUCAUUUAGAAAUUGAACCAGAACUCAGAUCAAAAUCUACAGUGCAAUUUCUGAUAUCAAAUCACACAGCCAUCUCUUUAAUCAUGAGCUUUUUUUUUUCUUGUUGUUGUUUUCAAGUACUUAACUCUGGUGAAGUGCUUGUUACUGUUCAAAGGAAUAGAAGUCUUUGGAGUUGAACUCUCUUGAAUUAGAAUCCAUCUCGCCUGUGCCGUUAUCUGCCUGGGUCUCCCACACCUGUGGGUUUUCUCUGAGAAUGGUUAGUUGAUCUGGCAACUGAUUCAAGGACUGAAAACCAAUCAAUGCAGAAAAAAUAAAAGUAUGUCUUUCACAGGCAGAAUCCUGUCAUAGCACAUAAUUUUUCCUCUGUAAAUUGAAAAUUAAGUAAAUAGUGUGUAUGAAGUGCUGGACAUGGCUGACAAUUGCAAAUAUUCCAUAAAUGGCUGUAGUUAUUUUAAUAGUAAUAAACACUCCCAAAACAAUCAUUUCCCAGAUGAAAAUGACCUUGUUUAUGUGUACACAUGCUA